UACGUAGGUGGCAAGCGUUGUCCGGAUUUAUUGGGUUUAAAGGGUGCGUAGGCGGCCUUGUAAGUCAGUGCUGAAAUAUCCCGGCUUAACCGGGAGGGUGGCAUUGAUGACUGCAGGGCUUGAGUAAAGUUGAGGUUGGCGGAAUUGACGGUGUAGCGGUGAAAUGCUUAGAUAUCGAGAGGAACACCUGCGGCGAAGGCGGGUAGCUGGGCCGACACGUGACGCUGAUGCGCGAAAGCCAGGGGAGCGAACGGG
rnacentral:rRNA from 1 species